rnacentral:rRNA from 1 species
UACGUAGGGGGCAAGCGUUAUCCGGAUUUACUGGGUGUAAGGGGAGCGUAGACGGCUUUGCAAGCCAGAUGUGAAAGCCCGGGGCUCAACCCCGGGACUGCAUUUGGAACUGUGUGGCUAGAGUGUCGGAGAGGCAGGCGGAAUUCCUAGUGUAGCGGUGAAAUGCGUAGAUAUUAGGAGGAACACCAGUGGCGAAGGCGGCCUGCUGGACGAUGACUGACGUUGAGGCUCGAAAGCGUGGGGAGCAAACAGG